rnacentral:lncRNA from 1 species
UAAGAUCAAGAUGUCCAGUAAAAGGUAUUCCUUUCGAAGAAGCCACAAAGUUGUCAUAGUGAACAAUUGCUGUUUUCAUCUGCAGCCUCCAUCUUCCCCCUUCAAUGUGACAGGAGCAAAAGAGAGAGACGCCCAGGACUUGUAGGAGCUGCAGGAGGACCCUUUCCCUUCCGCAUGAGGAGAGGCAUGAGGGUGUGAAAUCUGACCAGCUAGAGUGAUUUUGUAACCACCAGAUAAGAAACUGCAGCUGCUGAGGGGCCAUUCUGAGCAGUCCAGGAAUGAAGUCAACACCACAAAAGGCAGACGAGCGAGAUGGUGAGAAACCAGGUCCUGGGGUAUCCUUUGAGGCACUGGACCAAGUCUGACCUGAGGUCUGUCUGACUACUG